CCCUGGUUGAUCCUGCCAGUAGUUAUAUGCUUGUCUCAAAGAUUAAGCCAUGCAUGUCUCAGUGCAAGCCGUAUUAAGGCGAUACCGCGAAUGGCUCAAUAUAUCAGUUUUGGUUCCUUAGAUCUUACUCAGUUACUUGGAUAACUGUGGUAAUUCUAGAGCUAAUACAUGCAAUCAGAACUCUGACCAGUGAUGGGAUGAGUGCUUUUAUUAGAUCAAAACCAAUCGACGGAGGGCCUCGCGUCCGAAGUCGUUAAUUUUGAUGAAUCUGGAUAACUUUUGCCGAUCGCAUGGUCCAGUACCGGCGACGCAUCUUUCAAAUGUCUGCCUUAUCAACUUUCGAUGGUAGUUUCUGCGACUACCAUGGUUGUCACGGGUAACGGGGAAUCAGGGUUCGAUUCCGGAGAGGGAGCCUGAGAAACGGCUACCACAUCCAAGGAAGGCAGCAGGCGCGCAAAUUACCCACUCCCGGCACGGGGAGGUAGUGACGAAAAAUAACGAUACGGGACUCUUACGAGGCCUCGUAAUCGGAAUGAGUACACUUUAAAUAUUUUAACGAGGAACAAUUGGAGGGCAAGUCUGGUGCCAGCAGCCGCGGUAAUUCCAGCUCCAAUAGCGUAUACUAAAAUUGUUGCGGUUAAAAAGCUCGUAGUUGCAUUUGUGCGCCGCGCUGUCGGUGCACCGCAUCCGCGGUGAUACUGACACGUCUGCGGAGCAUAUCGUCGGUGAGCCGUCGGUUAAACGUCGGUUCAAUAUCAAAAUCCUAUCGCGGUGCUCUUCAAUGAGUGUCGAGGUGGGCCGACAAUUUUACUUUGAACAAAUUAGAGUGCUCAAAGCGGGCUCAAAAUGCUGCUUGAAUAUUUCGUGCAUGGAAUAAUAGAAUAUGAUCUCGGUUCUAUUUUGUUGGUUUUCAGAACUCCGAGGUAAUGAUUAAUAGGGAUAACUGGGGGCAUUCGUAUUGCGACGUUAGAGGUGAAAUUCUUGGAUCGUCGCAAGACGAACAUCAGCGAAAGCAUUUGCCAAAGGUGUUUUCAUCAAUCAAGAACGAAAGUUAGAGGUUCGAAGGCGAUUAGAUACCGCCCUAGUUCUAACCGUAAAUAUGUCAUCUAGCGAUCCGCCGACGUUACUACAAUGGCUCGGCGGGCAGCUUCCGGGAAACCAAAGA
rnacentral:rRNA from 1 species